AAGAAAGUGGCAGAACGGUCAUGCGGCUGGCUUGAAACCAGUAUACGGGGGUUCAAUUCCUCCCUUUCUCG
rnacentral:tRNA from 1 species